rnacentral:rRNA from 1 species
CAAUAGCGUAUAUUUAAGUUGCUGCAGUUAAAAAGCUCGUAGUUGGAUUUCGGGUGGGAAUGGCCGGUCCGCCGUUUCGGUGUGCACUUGCUACGCCCACCUUGCUGCCGGGGACGUGCUCUUGAGUUCACGCUCGGGACGCGGAGUCGGCGAGGUUACUUUGAGUAAAUUAGAGUGUUCAAAGCAGGCCUACGCUCUGAAUACAUUAGCAUGGAAUAACACGAUAGGACUCUGGCCUAUCUUGUUGGUCUGUAGGACCGGAGUAAUGAUUAAGAGGGACAGUCGGGGGCAUUCGCAUUUCAUUGUCAGAGGUGAAAUUCUUGGAUUUAUGAAAGACGAACUACUGCGAAAGCAUUUGCCAAGGAUGUUUUCAUUAA